CCCCUGUCUCGACAAGCACCACUUUAUGUACUUUUCCCGUAGCUGAGCAACAUCCAACUGCAAAACAUCUUCAAGUAACACUGACUUCAGAUACCUGUGCACUCCCUCAUCUGCAAUAAACAAGGAGCCAAUCCGAGGGAAGACAGAGAGUCGAGGAAAAGCAGAAGGGAUGGGUUAGAUAUGGAAAAAAUGUAAAAAUAGAUGGAUCAAAUGAAAAGAAAAAGGAACUUCUACCCCUGAGGGGGGCUCCACAACCUCACAGGAGCCGGUGAGGCAAAGAACAAAAUAUCCAGCAACAAGGAAAAAAUGUAGAAGAACGCUAACAAUGGAAUAACAAGAGAAGAAAGGAGUGACGGAGAUCCAGGGAUUUGUCAAUUUCCUUUUGGAGCUUACUGGAUGUUUCAACCAUGAACUUGAGUUUGACCUUUGCCUCCUUUCUUUUCCUGAGUCUUCACUCUUGUACAGAAAAGCUUUGUGAGCUGCUGAAAUGCCACAGUCCAGUGGGAUCUUGGUGCCAGGGAGUUCUGGAAAAUGGAGUACUCGUCCCCAAGUGCGUUUGUCCUCAGUCCUGUCCAAGCCUCCUGGACUGGUUUCUGUUCCUGAGUCGUAUGGGGGAGUCCAACACACCUGAUACUCCGCCCCAGAUCUGCCUUAGCCACGCCCACAAGACACAACUAGCACGGAACAAGUCGUGUUUUUCCUCCUUACCCCUUUAAUUACUCAGUGUGGUCCACAUCAAUGAAAUGUAAUACUGAAUACACUGUAGCUGGAAGAAGAAUAUGAGAUCACUUUCACUCCCAUUGUAACCAGACACGGAAAAUGAAGUACUUCCUUUAUACACUGUCAUCGGAACUGCGCUUCAUGCAUUGUCCAGCAAAGAGAUCAAUGGUAACAACCUACACCCUACCUUACCCUAUUGGAUAAGAACAAGCUGAGCCACAGGGACCUGAGGAAGCUGUGAUACAAAAUGAUGCCACCGGAGCACCGGGCUUCAUCAAUCUCUCAGUCAGUCCCACCUGCAAGCCUCCAAGGAAAUUAGCUUUUGAACAAACAAGAAACCAACCGCAUGGAAGAAAAAAAGCAGUGAUUACAUGGCCUGUUGGAUAAGUAGUUGAAAUGAUGAUCCUAUACCAUAAGGGGACUGAGUAGUCAAUAAUGUUUGGGCAGUGCUGCUCACACUAAGGUUCACAAUGUGAACCUUCUGUCUCUUGCAAUAUGUUACUUCACUGCUAAUUACUGAAACACCGAGGGUUAAAAGUGUCACACGACGAUGCUUUUCGCCCCCGCUCUGUGACCAAGUUGCACCUCCCACCAUGCUGUUCUCUCUGCACGCCAUCUAUCUAUCCAUCCAUUCAUCGUCCAUGCCAACACCCGCUUCCUGUGUCCUCCUCCCCUCCGGUCUCACGACCGCACCAUCGCUCCAUCAUCUUACUCCUCCUCCACGUUGGAGCGCUUGUUUCCCCCUUCAGUGCUUCCUACUCUCAUCUUCAAAUAGACUUAUCCUCGGCCUCCUUUCCUGUCGAUCCUUUCUUCAUUUCCACUCGUUCUUUCCAUCUCUCCCCAUUCUUCAUCCUCCACUCUCCCAACCCCCUUUUUCCCUGCCAGUCUGCAGUGACAGGUUUUGUGGGAGUAGGACUGGCUGUGUCAAUGUCAAGCCAUUCCCAGCAAUGAUAAUGUUUAUUACCCACUGUGUCUCCCGCUGCCCAUGGAUUAACACAGAUUGAAGCAGUACCCUUCAGAGAUAACAUUGCAGGGUGAACGGAAAGACAAUGGCUGUCUAGCUAGCCCCGGUACCGUUGUUUUCAUACACUUUACACCGUCUCCAUGUGCAUCUCUGGUUGUGUAAUUGUGUAACAUGUGCAUGGGUUGAUAAGAGCUUGAAUGCAUCCCAUGUCAUGAGGUCACCAUGUGUUAUGCAGUGCUGUGUUUGCAGCUCAUGUAACCAUAAUGGGAACAGGAAGGUGACCCUGCGAGAGCGGACAACCUGUCUGGUGGAUCAAUUUAUGUCAGUCAUAACUUCUUCCUAAUGUUACCUUUAUUUCUCAUGGUGAGAAAUGAAGCUGCCCUUUUUCACUGUAUUGGUUUUACAAAUUAAAAGCAGCCCACCGAAUGUUAAACAAGACGAGAUACUUCAUGAUAUACUGUCCAAAUUCUACUCUUUAAUUGAGGUUAAAAUCAUGAACCUUCGGCUUCAAAAUAAUUAUUUCCUGUAGGUUGAUGACACAUCCUCACAACAUUUUUUCUACCAUCAUCUCUACCAAAUUGUUAUUAUUUGUUAUUUUGUUUGUUUUAUUGACAGCAAUGGGAUUAAGCUCCUGCAAGCUGUGUCCUACAAUCAGACGAAGAUACCUCUAACGUGAAAAAAAGGCAAUGAACUAACUCCUUUCUGCAUGUCUGCUGAACUGUAAAGAACUGGCUGGAGACAACAUCUCCACAAUUUAAUAGCCACUGGCUGGCCUCUCUACACACUCCCAUCUGUUUCACGCCAGUGUUGCAGCUCAUAACGUUGUGAUUUAUGACCACGUCAAAUUUGAAAGUGUUUGGCUUGUCUGCGCAUUCGUACGUGCACGUGCUGACCGCCAACCUCGUUAAUUACAUCAGCUGACAUUUGUAUAUUGUCUAUUGUAAAAGAGCAGAGACGAUCGUCAAUGACGAGUAAAAAAAAAAUGACACGGCCUGCAACUAUGAGGGACGACGACAGCAGCGCGGACGGACAGCGGGAUGUUCCCUGAAUGACAGACUAGAUGGGGGGAAACAUCCGCUUCGUACGGGAUGACGUGACCAGAGAGGAGACAAAGGGAUCAUGACGGGGAGAAGUGGUGGAAAGAGUCAUAAUGCACUAGAAGAGAGAGGGGAAGGGGGGAGGAGGGGAGACAAAGUGACCGAAGGAAGGAAGGAGAGAGAGAGAGAGAGAAGUAUAAAAGGUCUCAGAAAGAUGGAAGGAGGUAAUGCAUCGUAAAUGGCAUUGGAGUGUAAUGCAUAAAAAAUGGAUCAGAAAUGAGGGAAAGACUGAGAACGGAG
ensembl:lncRNA